UCGGCACCGCGAGUCAGAAUCAAGGCGCCGUUCAACCUAUUUAGCUCAAAUAGUCUUUGAUUUCUAAAAGCAUGAGUGUAUGCUAACAAUUCAAUCAGAAAGUGAGGAUACAACCCCAAAACUCAACCAAAAGCUUUUCAGUUACUAAUAUAUCUUUCAUAUCUUGGAUUUAUAAUGUGAAUUACAUUACAACUAUGUUCUCUUUUGCACAACGGAUUUAUGUAACACUCCACAUAAUCAAAUAUCGAUUUUCUUAGGUUUUGUUGGAAUCACUUAGCAAUAUAUUGUGUAUGACUGGUGUAGAAUAAUGUCAAGCCAAUAUAGUCCCGGGAAAACUAUAAAAUGACAUCAACCACUUAGUCUAUAUGUAGCUAAUUAAUUGAUUUAAUGAGAAAUCAUUAUUGUGCAUUCGGAUAGAGAUGAUCCAAAAAAAAUGAGUUUAAGAAAUUAGUGUUCAUAAUUUAAGUGCUCUGAAUAAAAAAGAUCUAAAAGGAUAACAUUGAUAGCACACUGAAAUAAAAGAAAGACAUGAAGGAGGUGAUAUUUGCAUACAUGUAAUAAUAUGUCAAGUACUAUUUGCACUGUGAUAUGGACACGUAAUUUUUUAUGGUGCUACAUAAUAAAUAUAUCAUUAAUGAUAGAUCCAAGGUGUCUAGUGCCUUCAAACAAACAACCACCAUGAGAGAGCAUAGCAAUAGCACUAAAACAAUUGUAUUUAUUCAUUUUCUUGGCAUAAAAAAGAUUGGAUACCAUUGAAUACAAAUCAAUUAAUGCGGCAUCCAUUGAGAAAAUAAUGAUGCAAUUGAAUGCACAAUCAUUAAUUAAUGUGUCCAUAUUUGUAUGGUGACAUCAAAUUAUGAUACUACCAAUAAAUACAUAUAUAUAUCCAAAUAAUUAAUCUCCCUUGCCGGCCUCUAUAUAAAGAGAACAGAGGAGCGGGUAUGUUCAACAAGAUACCAGCAAGGCAAUACAAGAACAUCGAGAGAUAGUUCCCUUCUCGCUGAAAACAUAAAGAAAAGUAAAGAGUAGAAAGAUAGCUGAUAUUCAGAUGGCAGUUGUGAUCAACCGGCGCGACGUGAGGGCCAUGUACUCAUUGGCUCUUGUCAUCAUGGCUCUAACCGUCAUGUCUUCUGUUUCAAUAAUGUACUGUCAAGCGGUAAGAACUUCUUGUUACCAGCUAACUCCGUUGACACAAUAAUGCAUUAUGGUUAUCAAGAGUACUAAUGUGGUAGUAACCUGGUCGUUUACAACAUGUGCAGCCGAGGUGAUGGAGAAGGAUCGUCACUGUUUCAGCUAUGAUCUCUGCGACGAUAAACCGUGCCAACAGGCGUGCAGGAAAAUGGGGUACCAAAACUGGGAGGACGCCUCCUGCAGCGAUAUAUUGUUCUGCUGCUGCGCAAAAGAAUGAUGGGGGUCCUUCUUUUUUAUGAAACGUUGCCCAAUGUUUAUGUGUGCAAUUUAUUAUGAAAUGAAACAAGGGAGAGAGUGAAGUUAUUGGACUUCAUCUUCACAGCUGAGGGCGACAUUUUGUUCUGUUUUCACUGAUGAGAUAGUUCUCAUUGCUUUUCAUCACGCACCGCGCUGCGGUGCUGCGUCUCUCGUUGCACAUAUUGCAUGCAUCCCUUACCGGCGGCGAAUCAGGGAGGGAAGGGAUCGUUGUCUGUGAUACAAUUCACGACUGGGCAAUUCACCCCUCAGCAAUAAGGGCUCCUUCCCCACACCAGUGAUCACAUUAAAAUUCUACAAGCUUGGGAUCUACUAGACCAACGUUGGACAAUAUGAUUGAAACAAAGGCGACAGUUACCUGCGGCUGGCUUCACAGAGUCAGUAGGUAAGUAUACAAUGGGGUUGGUGCCAUGAGUCAGAAUCAAGGCACCGUUCAACCGUUUAGCUCAAAUGGUCUUUGAUUUCUAAAAGCAUGAAUGUAUGCUGACAAUUUAAUCAGAAAGUGAGGACAUAACACCAAAACUCAAGGAAAAGAUUUUCAGUUCA